AAAAAACAACCGCUAGUCACCAAGCGCGCAAGGGGAGAAAGAGAGAGAGAGAC
rnacentral:sRNA from 1 species